CAUGCUGAUGGGAUCUCUUAUUAGGUCUCUGUUCAAAGGUUACUUUGUCGAAGAGUUCUUCCUGGUCUGUUCUAUACUGAGAACGCCUCUCUGCACUAUCACAGACCAACAGAGAAGCCAAGCAUGCUCCCCUAGCCAAUCGUACAGGCCACCCUGCUUCCGGUUAACCUGCUUACAGCUUCUCCACGGCAACAGCUUCCAGUCAGAGGCUACUUGAAGCCUACCCUUUUUCUCCAUACAAAGCUUUCCUACUCGUCUCUCUGCAGGAUCUACAGUGUUUAGAUGAUUUCCCCCGCUGGGCUGUGUAUCUUCUGACUGACCUUCUCCAGGUAUCAUUCUGUGGGGAGAAGAGGAACAUUGGCUGGCCUGUGCUUUUUAUUUUCUUUCGGUCUUGCCAGCACUAUCGCAGUAUUAGGAGCUAAAUUGUGGCCUCAAAAAUCUGAUACAUUGAAGUCUUAACCUCCAGUACCUCCAAAUGUGACUGUAUUUGGAAAUACAGACUUUAAAAAGGUAGUAAGGUUAAAUGAGGUCGCUGGAACGGGCCUAAUCCAGUCGGACUGGCGUCCUUGUAAGAAGAGGAUUUUAGAACA